GACGAACGCUGGCGGCGUGCUUAACACAUGCAAGUCGAACGGAAAGGCCCUGCUUUUGUGGGGUGCUCGAGUGGCGAACGGGUGAGUAACACGUGAGUAACCUGCCCUUGACUUUGGGAUAACUUCAGGAAACUGGGGCUAAUACCGGAUAGGAGCUCCUGCUGCAUGGUGGGGGUUGGAAAGUUUCGGCGGUUGGGGAUGGACUCGCGGCUUAUCAGCUUGUUGGUGGGGUAGUGGCUUACCAAGGCUUUGACGGGUAGCCGGCCUGAGAGGGUGACCGGCCGCAUUGGGACGGAAGACCGGCCCGAACGCAGACGGAAGGAGGAGGGGGGAAAAUUGGCAAAGGGGGCGGAAGCUUGUGAAGAAAACCCCGGGUGGGGGAAGCCGGCUUUGGGUUAGAAAACCGUUUCCGCCGGGGACGAAGGUGAGGUGAGGGUAAGGAAUAAAAAGAAACGGCCUAACUACGUG
rnacentral:rRNA from 1 species